rnacentral:misc_RNA from 1 species
GAGUUUCACAGAGGAAUCUUUGCGUGAGAAUGUUGGAGCAUUUAUGAAUGCACUUUUGCAAGCAAAGCCUGCAGGCCUUAAGAAGACUUCCAAAUAUGCUGGGUAUGUGAACAGCUUCCAUAUAUGCAGCACGAUGGGACCAGGGUUCCCUGUUUCAAUACAGUCAUUAUCCAAGGCCGUGGAUCACUACAACAAAGCGCUCCUUAAGUAAUGUGAUUGCAGCAAAAUUCCGGCNNNUUCUGUCUCUCUGUCUUUCCUCCCCAUUAUCGGGUGUUGACACUAGUAAAAAACAGUUGGG